UUGCUGCUUCAAAUUAUUUUAAAGCCAUGUUUAUGGAAGAAAAAAGGAGCUCCCAACUAUGAAACCCAAUAAAGUGUGAAGAAGUUGUUAGCCUUUGUUGUGGCCAUAAUUGAUACACAUUUCAAUUCACCAUCUGUUGAAUGUGUGGCAUCCAUCUACUCUUAUAUUUUAGGUAUUUUAAGAAUGACCUUUCGUGCUUUUUUACGAUUUUGUAUCAUAUGGUAUGAAAUAAUACUUUCUCGUCUGUGUUCCAAAUGAUUUUCCAUUGCCUGUUAAAGGGUUGUUAAAGAAUGUGAUCGGGUUUUUCAGUUUGUGUUGUACAAUUUCAUAUGUAGAACUAACCAUUGUAAAAUUCAAUCAUAUUGACACAGGUUUAUUCUCAGCAUAUUUUUGUUAGGAUAAGUGGUUUGGUGAAUUCUGUAUUAUUAUAUAAUCUUUGGGGCUAUUUUAAGUGAAAAUGAAAUGUUGACAUUGAUAUAGCAUACGACGCACUUUAAUUCACACCUAUAUUCGGUCUUCAUGUUUCCAUUGCAACACUCUGCAUUUCCCAGCCAAUGAAUUUUUUAAUAAAGAUGUAGUUAAAGCAAUUACAUGCUCUAUCAAGUAUGUUUUAUAUGUAGUUGUGGUAGCUGCAAGGAAAUGAAAUAUUUGUGCUGAUAAUUGGUAGUUUAAAUGUAUAGAAAUAGAGAAGAAUUAUAAAUGGAGCACCUAGGAUAUUUAACAUUGUUUUCCUUUCUAUGUAAUUUUUCUCAUGUUUAACAUCUGCUUUUGCUUAUGCAUUUGAUUCAAGUGCUAUUUUUAUUAGUGUUAAUUUUGGGUUGCAUAUCCACAAACUAGCCCAGUUAAUUUUGUUUAGUGUUGGUGUAUAAGGAGAACUCUCAUUGCAUCGACUUGAACAAACAUUCUUCUACUUAGUUGCUUAGCUGCUGAAACAAGAACGAUUUACUUUUUAUGUUUUUUUGUUUAACUGCUAAAACUGGCUGGCUGACCUGCAGGACAUAUAUUUUGCCAUCUUAACUUCAAGGGAAAUAUUUGUGUAAAAUGCAUAUUGCUUAGGGAAACAAAGCAUUUUUUUGCAACCACAUCUUUUGUAAUCAACUCGGUUGAAUGUAUAUAAAAGCCAAGCUGCUUAUCUUA